rnacentral:tRNA from 1 species
GGUUGUGGCUGUCAGUGGUAGAGCACUAGCCUAGCAUGUGCGAAACCCUGGGUUCGAUCCUCAGCACCA